rnacentral:lncRNA from 1 species
CGGGGAAGUGGCCAAGUAGAGGUACAGGACCUCCCCGACCUCCGAUCUCACAAGGAGUGGCGGGGAGGUGAGGUACUUCUUCAGUUCCUCGAAGGCCUGCCGGCACUCGUCCGGCCAAGAGAACUGCUUGGCCUGCCGUAAGGUUUUGAAGAACGGGAGGCAUCUUUCAGCCGAUCGAGAGAUGAACCGACUGAGGGCGACGAUCUUUCCAUUCAGCUGUUGGACUUCC